ensembl:lncRNA
GGAGUGGGUUGCCAUCUCCUUCUGCAGGGAAUUGAACCUGCAUGUCUUGCAAUUGGCAGAUGGAUUCUUUACCACUGUGCCACCAGAAGUUUUUUUCAUGAUUGGCCCUGAUAAGUAAAUUGAAAUCACAUCAGAUUUUGACUGCUUGGCUCUGUAGAGGUAAACAGAACCAACAGUACUUCUACUGAUGGGAUUGAAGCUCUUUUAGUGUCACAAGGAAGGACCUUUAGAGAUCAUCUUCUCAAUUUUUUUUACUUACCCCUCAUCCAAGGUAAGGAGCAGCGGCUGCUGUGCUUUCCUGGAGCAGCGGUGAAGAGAUACCCCACACCCAAGCUGCUCCAGCAAAGCCCAGCCACUGCUCCUUACCUUGGAUGAGGUCACCCCUCCUGACCUUGAACGUGGAGUAGCUCCUCUCCGCCCUUUUUGAGAACUAAAGCGGUCCCUUUUUUGAAGCCCUGCAAACUGAAGCAGAAUAGCUGAUAUACAUUUAAGAGAGAUCACCACAAUGACUGGACCUUGGAGGGUGAGGAUUGAGCCUUGGGACCUUGCCCUUCCUUGUCGGAACAGAGAAGAUUUGUUUGGUGGAGAUUUAUAGGGACUUCGUUACCUGACUAUGACCUGACCUCAAGAACAAAGGGUCUGACACCAAGAAGUUUACAACAGCCAACCACACCCCUUCCUCACCUUUCUAAGAAUGGGCUUUGCUGAAAGCUUUCGGUAGUUUGGGCCAUCUCCUUCCAUAGUCCUGCAAUAAACCUUUCUCUGUUCCAUACUACAAUGUUUUGAUAUUGUUUGACCUCACUGUGCCUUGGGCACACAAACGUGUGUUUUGGUAACAAUAGCUCAGGUUUAGAUGAUUUGUCUGUUGAUAGAAAGUCUACCUGCACAUCAGUGACAUCAUCAGAGAUAUUGCAACCUGCAAAGCUGGCAGCUCUCAGGACUCAGACACUGAGUUUAUAAUUUGCUCCAGCUACUAACCUUUGUUUUCCUUUUGUCGCCAUAGAAAUGCCUUGUAGUAAAUACUGGACUUCUCGAAUAAUAUAGGACUAAUUUUAAGAGUCCGCAACAUCACCACUUCCUGAAAUGAGACACAACUGUUUAGCUGAAUUGACCUAUUUUUAGGACUGAGUAACUGGUUCAAAAAAGAUAUGGAGUAAUGUAUCAACUUAGCUUCUAAACUGUGAAACUUCUUGGAGAAGUUUCAAAGGCAGGACUGUAGCGGAACAGGAUUUGCUGCCCCAAAAUAUGUCUCUUUAGAAUAUUUUAAGUUGG